AUCCCAUAAUGAGGACACUUACGAAGUAACUCCUUGAAUCGCUUCUAAGCCUCAUACAAAGACUCGUCAUCAACUUGUUGGAAAGUUGUGAUCCCAUUUCUUAACUU
rfam:Gossypium raimondii chromosome 4, whole genome shotgun sequence.